UGUGGAUACCCAUGACCCCAUAGCCGUGCCAACUCCACCACAGCAUUCUUGUCUCUCAUGGGGCCCACCCCCCUCUGCCCCCACUGGGGUAACUAUGGAGACAGACAGCU